CUUUUUCUGAACAUGAAUGAAAAGACCUUUGAAACAUUGCUCUAACAGCCAUAUUUUUAGCUGAUAGAUAAAUAGCUAAUGUUAUUGUUGGUUAAAUCACCAAUGCUGUAGAACACCACUGAUUUUCAUGACCCGGAAGUCAAACUCCAACUAAAAAUUACAGGACAAAGCGUUCAUGAAAUUGGUUUGCUGUUGUUAGUAAGCACUUUGAAUGCAAAGACUCUCCCGUGGUGAAUCCUCUCUUGCUUGUAAUAUAGCAUUUAACUACCUUAUGCAAUGGGAAGCCUGCAUAUUUAUAAAUAUGUGUAUAUAUGUAUAUAUCUGAUAGAGAUAUAUGCAACAGGAAAUGCAAAGGCAACUCUAAAUGACAAACCACACCUUUGAACCCAUUCACGUGCAGGGUCUGGUCUCCAGCAAAGACGUACGCACUGGUGCUGAACCCAGGGUGGCACAGGGGCUGUUCCUGGGGAGCCAGCCAGCAGCAGGACAAGGGUUGGAGUCUGCACACUGCCUGUCCCCUUGGGUGGGAGUUUAGCACAUAGGGAUCCGUGUUCCACCAUGGUACAUCCCUUGUCCUACACAGCCAGGCAAGCCACAUCAAACAGAAAUAAAAUAGAACACUAAUACCCAUUUGCCCAAAUCAUAAACAAACACAGGAGACCAUAAAUCUCAGUGGGGUCACUACCUACCUUACCAGACUUUACAUUUAGAAUUUCCAAUGAAGAACAAACUGUUAUCUAAAGCUUGAGCUUCUAACCCACGGGCUAUGGUACUGUUCUGUCCAUCCUGCCUCAGUGCACUCCUCCCACGUCUUCUGCCUUCAGAACUUUCAUUUAACUAGUACACAAAGAUUUACAGUGUUAUUUUCAGUUAAUCAGAUUUAAGGAUUUCUUAUUUCAUUUGUUAGUCUUGCUAGUAAGAGUGGAAUACAAAGUAAUGAUACAACUUUCAGGCCAGUAGUUUGGAUAGGAUAUGAAUUAAUUGGUGGUUUGGUUUUGUUUUGAACAAGUUUGGUUUGGGUAUGCUGGAGCGGUGGCUCUGGCCAGCAGAGGCCAGGCAAGGUGAUCCGUGCUCCUCCGGGGUGGGAGGAGCUCUGGGGGCAGCCAACGUGAAACUUCUCUGUAAAAGCCAAUUUUAAAAAACACCAUUUGUUUCUCUUAGAACUAAAGUAGUUUCUCUUAGGGAAAAAAAAAAGAGCCUUUGCGAAUCCUCUUAGGGGACAAUUCAAAUAUUCUAAAAGUGAAUGACAUCACUGCAUUGCAGCCAGAAUUUACAUGGCCCUUGUAAGGCUUUUCCUGCAGCACCACCAACCGAGCCACAGCCCUGCAGCACAAGAGGCUUCAUCUUUGUAAAUUGGGGCCUUCUUUGUCUCUUUGCUAGCAUAUGUGGCUUUGCCCUGAAACCCUGCUCAGAACAAACACUUAUCGGUUACGUUUUCUACUCGUGAGUACUGUAUCCAGUUCAAAACCAACAGCUUACUUUAUUAAAAAUUUUACCAUUUUAUAAAAGACAUGUUUAAUUAUGAUGGAGAUGGCUGUAUUGUAAUUAAUAUUUUGAGAUAAUUGUGAUUUUGAGCUUAAAUUAUAUACAGAAAAUGGUCAUUUUUGUAUGUGUUAAAAGAUUGCUAUAUUACAAAUGACUAACUGUACUUUUCAGUUUAAUUACAGUAUUAAUGUAAAUAAAGCUGAAUGAAGAAAUAUUUACUACUUUAUUAACAUAGAUUGUGAAUGUACUUAAUGUUUUUUGCAGUAUAAAGACUUACUGAACUUGAAAGCUGCUUCAUUUUAUGUGCAAAAAGGACCUGAGUUUUCCAAAUCACUAUUCCACAAGUGAUGGAAAACAAGAUGGCUGUUACCUCCGCACCUCUGUAAGUGCUCCAGAGCUCCCCCGCACCUCUAGCCUCAGUGACGUACGUUACAGCUUCAGCUGGACCUGCCAGCAAACACAGUAGUGUUUCAG
ensembl:lncRNA